rnacentral:rRNA from 1 species
UACGAGUGCGUCGAGCGUUAUCCGGAAUCAUUGGGCGUAAAGGGUGUGUAGGCGGUUUGUCGCGUCUGCCGUGAAAGCCCAGGGCUUAACCCUGGGUCUGCGGUGGGUACGGGCAGACUAGAGUGUGGUAGGGGAGACUGGAAUUCCUGGUGUAGCGGUGAAAUGCGCAGAUAUCAGGAGGAACACCGAUGGCGAAGGCAGGUCUCUGGGCCACUACUGACGCUGAGAAGCGAAAGCAUGGGGAGCAAACAGG